rnacentral:misc_RNA from 1 species
GGAAGUAAAAGCCGUAACAAGGUUUCCGUAGGUGAACCUGCGGAAGGAUCAUUAUCGAAAUACUUAUUUAGCGUUCCGUGCUAUCCCAUUGUUUUAUUUACCCUGUUGCUUCCACUGGAUGAGUUCCCAUACCUUGUGUUUGAGAAACUUUGGCUUGUGUAAGAUUCAUUCACGGCCAGCCAGUGAGAAGACCAUUUACAAAACCCUGUUAAGAACCAAUUGUCUGAAUAUUUUACUCCAAUGAAAUAAAACUUUCAACAACGGAUCUCUAGGCUCUU